AGAGUUUGAUCCUGGCUCAGGAUGAACGCCGGCGGUGUGCCUAAUACAUGCAAGUCGUACGCACUGGCCCAACUGAUUGAUGGUGCUUGCACCUGAUUGACGAUGGAUCACCAGUGAGUGGCGGACGGGUGAGUAACACGUAGGUAACCUGCCUCGGAGCGGGGGAUAACAUUUGGAAACAGAUGCUAAUACCGCAUAACAACAAAAGCCACUUGGCUUUUGUUUGAAAGAUGGCUUUGGCUAUCACUCUGGGAUGGACCUGCGGUGCAUUAGCUAGUUGGUAAGGUAACGGCUUACCAAGGCGAUGAUGCAUAGCCGAGUUGAGAGACUGAUCGGCCACAAUGGAACUGAGACACGGUCCAUACUCCUACGGGAGGCAGCAGUAGGGAAUCUUCCACAAUGGGCGCAAGCCUGAUGGAGCAACACCGCGUGAGUGAAGAAGGGUUUCGGCUCGUAAAGCUCUGUUGUUGGAGAAGAACGUGCGUGAGAGUAACUGUUCACGCAGUGACGGUAUCCAACCAGAAAGUCACGGCUAACUACGUGCCAGCAGCCGCGGUAAUACGUAGGUGGCAAGCGUUAUCCGGAUUUAUUGGGCGUAAAGCGAGCGCAGGCGGUUGCUUAGGUCUGAUGUGAAAGCCUUCGGCUUAACCGAAGAAGUGCAUCGGAAACCGGGCGACUUGAGUGCAGAAGAGGACAGUGGAACUCCAUGUGUAGCGGUGGAAUGCGUAGAUAUAUGGAAGAACACCAGUGGCGAAGGCGGCUGUCUGGUCUGCAACUGACGCUGAGGCUCGAAAGCAUGGGUAGCGAACAGGAUUAGAUACCCUGGUAGUCCAUGCCGUAAACGAUGAGUGCUAGGUGUUGGAGGGUUUCCGCCCUUCAGUGCCGGAGCUAACGCAUUAAGCACUCCGCCUGGGGAGUACGACCGCAAGGUUGAAACUCAAAGGAAUUGACGGGGGCCCGCACAAGCGGUGGAGCAUGUGGUUUAAUUCGAAGCUACGCGAAGAACCUUACCAGGUCUUGACAUCUUGCGCUAACCUUAGAGAUAAGGCGUUCCCUUCGGGGACGCAAUGACAGGUGGUGCAUGGUCGUCGUCAGCUCGUGUCGUGAGAUGUUGGGUUAAGUCCCGCAACGAGCGCAACCCUUGUUACUAGUUGCCAGCAUUAAGUUGGGCACUCUAGUGAGACUGCCGGUGCCAAACCGGAGGAAGGUGGGGACGACGUCAGAUCAUCAUGCCCCUUAUGACCUGGGCUACACACGUGCUACAAUGGACGGUACAACGAGUCGCAAGCUCGCGAGAGUAAGCUAAUCUCUUAAAGCCGUUCUCAGUUCGGACUGUAGGCUGCAACUCGCCUACACGAAGUCGGAAUCGCUAGUAAUCGCGGAUCAGCAUGCCGCGGUGAAUACGUUCCCGGGCCUUGCACUCACCGCCC
rnacentral:rRNA from 1 species